rnacentral:rRNA from 1 species
GACGAACGCUGGCGGCGUGCCUAAUACAUGCAAGUAGAACGCUGAAGAGAGGAGCUUACUCUUCUUGGAUGAGUUGCGAACGGGUGAGUAACGCGUAGGUAACCUGCCUUGUAGCGGGGGAUAACUAUUGGAAACGAUAGCUAAUACCGCAUAACAAUGGAUGACACAUGUCAUUUAUUUGAAAGGGGCAAUUGCUCACUACAAGAUGGACCUGCGUUGUAUUAGCUAGUAGGUGAGGUAAUGGCUCACCUAGGCGACGAUACAUAGCCGACCUGAGAGGGUGAUCGGCCACACUGGGACUGAGACACGGCCCAGACUCCUACGGGAGGCAGCAGUAGGGAAUCUUCGGCAAUGGGGGCAACCCUGACCGAGCAACGCCGCGUGAGUGAAGAAGGUUUUCGGAUCGUAAAGCUCUGUUGUAAGUCAAGAACGGGUGUGAGAGUGGAAAGUUCACACUGUGACGGUAGCUUACCAGAAAGGGACGGCUAACUACGUG